rnacentral:rRNA from 1 species
UACGUAGGGUCCGAGCGUUGUCCGGAAUUACUGGGCGUAAAGAGCUCGUAGGUGGUUUGUCGCGUUGUUCGUGAAAACUCACAGCUCAACUGUGGGCGUGCGGGCGAUACGGGCAGACUAGAGUACUGCAGGGGAGACUGGAAUUCCUGGUGUAGCGGUGGAAUGCGCAGAUAUCAGGAGGAACGCCGGUGGCGAAGGCGGGUCUUUGGGCAGUAACUGACGCUGAGGAGCGAAAGCGUGGGGAGCGAACAGG